rnacentral:antisense_RNA from 1 species
CUUGAUCGAGCCCAGCCACAACGGCCGCUCGCGGCCCUGGCCGUAGGUCGCGAGCAACGCCUGCGCUUC